GUUUUUUUUUUUUUUUUUUUUUGCGGAAACAUUAUGCUUUCAAACAACACAAAACGCAAACGGUAUUACUGACACUAAUUUAUGUCUUUUGAUUUUUAAAAUAAUAAUUUACGGCAAUUUUAGAAAAACGGAUUGAAACGACGACCAACGCGUUUUACGCGAUUUCACGUAACCGACCAACGAACACGUCAAAAAUCAACUACCGGCGUACCUUUGACAUGAUUUCGAUUUUAAAAUAUACGUUAUUAUAUUUUACGGACCUCGGGUGCGAAAACGGUUAGUAGGAAUUAACGGGCCACAUAAAACACCCAAUUGGGCUUGUGGGCCUUGGGCCCAAGCCCAAAGCCCAUUAACUAAAACCCUAACUAUAUAAGUGUUGUGAUAACCUUAUCUUCAUUUCAUUUGAAACCAGACAAACAUAAACACACGCACCCAUCCUGCUCCUCACUUUCCCAAACCCAAGUUCCUUGUCUGCAACUUAUAAUCACACACACCAAAACAACACCCUCUCAUUUUACUCUGGUGCCACACAAGACCGAAGCCAGUUAAUCGGGCGGCUCCCGGUGGUCCUCUUCAACGAGCAGCCCCCUUUUUUUUUUCUUUCGAGUGACAAAACGGAUCACCACCACCACCAUCAUCCGGUGGUGGUGCGGCGGCUACGAAACAGGAGAGAGAGACUGAGAAGAGAGACAAUCAGAGACAGAGAAGCAGCGCCGCCGCUCACGACGGCGACAGUGGAGACGACGACGGUGAAUUGCUUCUUGUCGACGGGUUUCCGGAUGACGACAGCGGAGAACCGCCAGCGGCGGUGCUGGGCCGGCCGACGGAAGCACCUGUGAUGGUGGUUAUCUCUUGUUCCAGAUUCGGGUUUGUUUCAAGUCAUGGUUUGAGUUUGGUCCGGGUCACAGCCGUGGUUUGGAUUAGGCUCGGGUUGGGUUCGGCUCAGUCAACAACUCAACAUAUUCGGUCAAGUUUUGGAGCGGUUUGUUCGGGUCAGACUUGAGAAGGUUUGAGUUAGUUUAGUCACGAGUCGGUUUCGGUUCGAGAGCUUUGGUUCCACUUGGGUUCGGAUAUUAUUUUCGGGUUAGCUUCGGUUCUGUCAACCACAAGUCAGCAGUUCGAGUUACGGUACAUAUUUGGUUCAAUCAAAGCUGGCCAACGGCUCGGGUCAACGGGUCAGACCUGGUGCGGUUCGGGUUCAUGUCAGCGGGUUCGAGUAAGGCGGUCAACAAGGUCAGACGGUUCGGUCCAGUUGACUCGGUCAACUCAGUCGACGUAUCGGCACACGGAGAGCGGAAUGCUAUAGUUGCAUGCUAACGAGUUCACGUCUUGGAGCAACACUACGGAAAUCACACUUUAGCUAGCUUUGCACAAGGACAUCAAGACAAACAUAAACACACGCACCCAUCCUGCUCCUCACUUUCCCAAACCCAAGUUCCUUGUCUGCAACUUAUAAUCACACACACCAAAACAACACCCUCUCAUUUUACUCUGGUGCCACACAAGACCGAAGCCAGUUAAUCGGGCGGCUCCCGGUGGUCCUCUUCAACGAGCAGCCCCCCCUUUUUUUUUCUUUCGAGUGACAAAACGGAUCACCACCACCACCAUCAUCCGGUGGUGGUGCGGCGGCUACGAAACAGGAGAGAGAGACUGAGAAGAGAGAGAAUCAGAGACAGAGAAGCAGCGCCGCCGCUCACGACGGCGACAGUGGAGACGACGACGGUGAAUUGCUUCUUGUCGAUGGGUUUCCGGUAAGAGCCACUCCCCUGUUCUCUGCAUUUUUUUUUAAAAAAUGAUGGUGAAAGAUACUGUUUUUAUUGGUGUCGAGGAUGACGACAGCGGAGAACCGCCAGCGGCGGUGCUGGGCCGGCCGACGGAAGCACCUGUGAUGGUGGUUAUCUCUUGUUCCAGAUUCGGGUUUGUUUCAAGUCAUGGUUUGAGUUUGGUCCGGGUCACAGCCGUGGUUUGGAUUAGGCUCGGGUUGGGUUCGGCUCAGUCAACAACUCAACAUAUUCGGUCAAGUUUUGGAGCGGUUUGUUCGGGUCAGACUUGAGAAGGUUUGAGUUAGUUUAGUCACGAGUCGGUUUCGGUUCGAGAGCUUUGGUUCCACUUGGGUUCGGAUAUUAUUUUCGGGUUAGCUUCGGUUCUGUCAACCACAAGUCAGCAGUUCGAGUUACGGUACAUAUUUGGUUCAAUCAAAGCUGGCCAACGGCUCGGGUCAACGGGUCAGACCUGGUGCGGUUCGGGUUCAUGUCAGCGGGUUCGAGUAAGGCGGUCAACAAGGUCAGACGGUUCGGUCCAGUUGACUCGGUCAACUCAGUCGACGUAUCGGCACACGGAGAGCGGAAUGCUAUAGUUGCAUGCUAACGAGUUCACGUCUUGGAGCAACAUUACGGAAAUCACACUUUAGCUAGCUUUGCACAAGGACAUCAAGGUUGAAUUUUCAAAACUAUGGAACGGUUGGAAUAGGAGAACCCAUGGGAAUUCGAGUACUUAGCGGCGUUCUUUUUCUAGAAGUCUUAGCUUAUUUGCUUCCGCUGUGCAAUGAAGAUACCGGUCCAGUCACGCCAGCUCUGAUAUUUCGGGGUGUGACACGCUCAAAUUCCUGGCAAUGCACGAAGAAGUUGCAGGAUUACGGUUUUGAAUUUCUAAUCUCUCCUAUACUUGUCGAUUUUUAAGCUGCUUUUUGAAUUAUUAUCUCGUACAACACUCUUUGGCCAGAGACGUUGAUCUUAAAUAUCACCUCACACGUGAUUGUUUCACUAUGAAACUCGUCAAUGUUGUCAUGGUCUGCACCGCUUACCGACGUGCCAACUCAUUUUCCCAAAAUUCGAUAAAAUCAUUUCUGAUUAAAAUUAAUUUUGGUAAACGGCAUUGAGGUAAAACAUGAGUUAACCAACAUCGGAAAAUCAUUUUUGUAAAUACCUUUGUGUUUUUUUUAAAUUUAUCAUAGUUUGUUGAUUUUAGGGAGAGUAAAUCCAAAAACAUAGAAAAAUUUAAAAACACAAAAACAAUAGAAAAACAAAAAUGAGUUUCUUAGCGAGAAAAAGAGAAAAUGAUAGUACAUCAGUGGUCUGUCGAAACCUCUUCAAAUUGAACCUCAAAAUGAAAAACGAUAAGCAGCUCUAUAUAAGAUAUAUCGGUAGGCUCACAAUCAUUUUAAAGUGUGCAGGGUGAUAUAAAUCUUAAAUUGACUGAAGACCAGGUGGGAACCAUUCAUUGGCAUAUGGUCUUAGUACCGAAAUUUCGUUUGAGAGAUUGCCGAGGUUCUGAGAUAUUCGCUCUUUAUGCUGCUUAUCAUCUGGGUAUCAUGGUUGUAUCUUUUACCGAAAAAAAAACGGGGACGCAAGUCUAGAUCUUCCAUGAUACUAUACAUACGUGUACAUACUGCAUUCGACCUCAAUAAGUGAUCAACAAUCACAUGUCCAACAAAAUAAGUGAUAAUAUAUCACAUUUAUCCGGGAGUUAAGUUCAUCUCUCUGCUGUACGAAAGUACUGACCUGUUCACGGACUUGCUCCUAUGCCCUCAUGCAUAAUGAAAAUCAAGUUCCUCAUCAAUAAGUGAUUCUAUCACAUAGGGCUUGUUUUCAAACCGAAAAUAAGUGAGUUUCUCACAUUUUCAUAUACGUUAAAACAGAUGAUAAUCAGUAUACUCACCGGUAAGAUGAAUUCUCGUGCAUACCUUGAUACGGGAAUGUGUCGUGUGUGGAUGAACACCGGUCUGUAAGUAUAAAGCAUACCUUAAAGUAUCCCCUCGCCAUGAUUACAUCUGAUAAGUUGAGCUUAAAUGGACAACAAUACCGAUAAUCGCUAUAGGAUGCUUAUCUAAAUGUUAACUAAUUGAACAAAAAGAGCGUUUUGGCAUGACCGCACACUGAUAUGAUUCUCUUACCCUCGAAACUCGCAAAAAGAAUGUCUGUAAAUAUUUAUUUACUGCUUUCAGUUUCUGCGUCUUUGUAUAUAUUUAUUUAUUGUUUUCCGGCUUUACGUUUGAAAAAUGAAAAAUUCCAAAAAGAUUUUAGGUGUGUUUUAAUAUAAACUUUAUAAAAGCCAAAAAGAUUUUGCUUCUUGUUUAUUUUUGAUUGACCGAUGUUGGAACUCGAGUCUAUCCUACCCAAAAUCCUGAUCGAAAGUUAAAGGAUUAAAAUUGAUCAUUUUCUAAACUUUCAAACUGUUGUCGGUCGGUAGUUGAUUGUGAAAUGGUCACAUGUGUCGUUUGUUUAUGGAAACUAUAUUCCAAGCGGUUGUUCUCAUUAUGCGUUUAGAUUUCUUGCAUGUGCAGAUGCUAAAGGCGAGGAGAACAUGUUCGAUGACAAGCUUCAGAAUGAAGACACGACGUGAAGGCACUCAAAAGAUAGUGAUGAUAGAGUUGUCGCUGACCCUUCAUCAACACCACAAGAAUCUAAAGAAUUAAAGAUCAAAAGAUUCACGAGCAUAACUCAAUGGAGAGUUCAUUUUAAGGGGGAGUUUGUUAACACACUUCCUAAAUGAAAAGAGAGUUUGUUGAUACACUUUCUUCUUUCGACGCGUGAAGACUUUGAAGAUCCUCCGACAUGAAAGACACAGAAGACGAACCAUCACAGAAGACGAACCAUCACGAGUAGCGUCCAAGGGGGAGUUUGUUGAUACACUUUGUGUGGACGCGACUCGGCUCGGUUCGACUCGGCUCGGUUCGACUCGGCUCGGUUCGACUCGGCUCGGUUCGACUUGAUUUCGACUCGGUUAGGUCCGGCUCAAGCCCGACGUCACGACAUUCCUCCGUCGUGCGCCCCAGAGUUCGCCACGCGAAGCACGGAGCGCCGCGAACCAAGAACAGGUGACAUAUCACCAUGACAUCAUCACUGUGAUGUCAUGAUGAUGUCAUGUAGUGGAAAAUUCAUGAAAAUAUUCAUUUGCAUAUGGAUGUCGACGAAACUGAAUAUGUUUCGUCGACUAGGGUGUUUCGCCGAGGUCUAGCCCUGUUUCGUCGCCUGUUGGGCUUCUUCAGGCCCAAUGUUUGGCCCAAGUUUGCUUCGCCGAGUUAUGUUUGUGUUUCGUCAUAGUUUGUGUCUGUUUAGUAUAAAUAGCUCUUACAGUUUCUGUGUGAAACUUGGACAAGAGACGAGAGCUGUGACUUUGAGAGAGAGUCUGUAAACAUUGUUUGUAUAUGUUUAUAUCGUUCUCAUCCCUAAUCAAUAGAUAUUGAAUCGUUUGGUUA